rnacentral:rRNA from 1 species
CAGUCGCCGCGGGAAUACGUAGGUCCCGAGCGUUGUCCGGAUUUAUUGGGCGUAAAGCGGGCGCAGGCGGUUAGAUAAGUCUGAAGUUAAAGGCUGUGGCUUAACCAUAGCACGCUUUGGAAACUGUUUAACUUGAGUGCAAGAGGGGAGAGUGGAAUUCCAUGUGUAGCGGUGAAAUGCGUAGAUAUAUGGAGGAACACCGGUGGCGAAAGCGGCUCUCUGGCUUGUAACUGACGCUGAGGCUCGAAAGCGUGGGGAGCAAACAGGAUUAGAUACCCCCGUAGUCCCUGUCUCUUAUACA